UACAGAGGUCCCAAGCGUUGUUCGGAUUCACUGGGCGUAAAGGGUGCGUAGGUGGCUUGGAAAGUUUGAUGUGAAAGCUCAGGGCUCAACCCUGAAAUGGCAUUGAAUACUAUCGAGCUGGAGGUUUGGAGGGGGGACUGGGAUUCUUGGUGUAGCAGUGAAAUGCGUAGAUAUCAAGAGGAACACCAGUGGCGAAGGCGAGUCCCUGGACAACACCUGACACUGAGGCACGAAAGCCGGGGGAGCAAACAGG
rnacentral:rRNA from 1 species